rnacentral:rRNA from 1 species
GACGAACGCUGGCGGCGUGCUUAACACAUGCAAGUCGAACGCUGAAGCUCAGCUUUUGUUGGGUGGAUGAGUGGCGAACGGGUGAGUAACACGUGAGUAACCUGCCCCCUUCUUUGGGAUAACGCCCGGAAGCGGGUGCUAAUACUGGAUAUUCACUGGUCUUCGCAUGGGGGUUGGUGGAAAGGGUUUUUCUGGUGGGGGAUGGGCUCGCGGCCUAUCAGCUUGUUGGUGGGGUGAUGGCCUACCAAGGCUUUGACGGGUAGCCGGCCUGAGAGGGUGACCGGUCACAUUGGGACUGAGAUACGGCCCAGACUCCUACGGGAGGCAGCAGUGGGGAAUAUUGCACAAUGGGCGCAAGACUGAUGCAGCGACGCCGCGUGAGGGAUGGAGGCCUUCGGGUUGUGAACCUCUUUCGCUCAUGGUCAAGCCGCAACAAUGGUUGUGGUGAGGGUAGUGGGUAAAGAAGCGCCGGCUAACUACGUG